AUAAAACUUCAUUUUAAAAGAGUAGCUUUGUGGCAAUCUGAAUUAGUAAAACUAGACUUGUUCUUCCACGGACCACUUAUCUGAUUCACAGAUUAAUUUGUUGCAAUAACCACACAACUUUAUCAUUGACUACUUGCAUUAUCUAGAAAGGUUCAAAAUGCGCCGAUCUAUUAUAUAAGUAACGUUCUGUAAGGACAGCUACGAGUUCGAAAGCCAUGAACGAACAAAAUCUAUAAUAAUAAAGUCGAAGAGAAACUCUCCACAAGCAGCCACCUCAGCACUUGCUAUUCCAAAAUUUGACACGUGUCACUCUGUCUUUAACUAAGCUGCUAGAGAACAUUCACGGUGCCUCUUCGGAUUUCAUGAACUCUGAUCAAUGCAAGUGUAACUGCUUCAGUUUUCGUCUCUGUUCUACAUUAAUCAAGCCAUUAACACUGCUCCC
rnacentral:lncRNA from 1 species